ACUACGCGUGAACGUGGUGUGACUUGAGUGGCUAUUUCUUACUGCUUAUUUCGUAUUGUCGUGAUGUGGUGAAAAUCGCUUGAAUUAACAUCAAAAGGCUUCAACUGACAGCUUGUGGCACUCUUCGUCAAACAUCAGGCAGACACUUUCGGGCAGCAUGCAUUAGUCAAGUCCCGAUGUGUGUACAUGCUGGGGUCCCCCUACUGACAAAAGCAGUUGUCCUUUAAAGCAAAAGAGCACCAGCUCACUUCUCACACAAUCUAUACUUGACGAUGGAUUUGACUUGUUCAGGUGGUACACAUGUUUGCAGCUGGUGCUAGCAGACUAACUGGAAGACCAGCAAACUGCAUGGAAGAUGCUUCUGAUAACGGUGUGACAAGGUCAACUGAAAAGAGCAGUCUUUGUUUGACUCGGUCAUUGAUUCACAUACGUACUGUUUAAAUGUACGCUGUUGAAAAAACAAUAAGCUGCAAGAAAUAUUGACCUUUUAAGUUUUAAGCUGUGAUUCUGAGAGGUCACUUAAGGUCUUGCUUUUCAUGAGUACAUAUACCAUAAUAAGAAAUAAACAUUAAGAAACAUUGACCUUAACAAAAGGUGACAUGACUUUUCAAGCAUGCUGUCUUAUGCAUCAGUUUAUAUGGAACUUGUUUAAAGUAACUUUUGGCCUCAAGCAACUGGAUAAGCUGAGAGACUUGUGACAUAAAUAAUUACUAAGCCUGUAUGAAGGAUAGACACACUCCAGACCUGAAGUUGUGAUUGAACUUAGUUUUGGUUUUGUUCAACUUGAUCACAAAAGCAAUCCUAAUCAAAAGAGAAAUCUUGAAUGUACCUCUCAAUUUUUACUCCAAACAUGUAAAUGUUUUAAGCUUUUUCUCUGAAGUGAUGAAUGUGCUGAGAAAGAUGGUUGAAACCAUUGCCCAUUAUCAUUGGGGUCAACCUGAAUAGAUUUAUAACAAGUAAAAUCAUUGUCCUCGUUAAUUGAAAGUCCCAUUGUGUCGAAUUUGCAGGCACCCAUGUGCUUGAAAACCUCAGAUUUGGAAUGCCUUUUUGUGCACAAUUUACAAGCUAGUAUUUGAAGAGCUAAAGACACAACACGCAGAUUUAAAUGCUUGCAGGCCGGUUUCUUAACAUAAUCCCCUUUGCUUCUUUUUCAUAUUUAGAAAAUUGAUUGUACCCUUGGUCUGAAACGUAGGGUCUUCUGGUUUACACAAAUAAACCAAAGGAUUUAAGUACCUAUUUCCUAUUCUAAAUGU
rnacentral:misc_RNA from 1 species